CCUACGGGAGGCAGCAGUGGGGAAUAUUGGACAAUGGGCGCAAGCCUGAUCCAGCAAUGCCGCGUGAGUGAUGAAGGCCUUAGGGUUGUAAAGCUCUUUUACCCGAGAUGAUAAUGACAGUAUCGGGAGAAUAAGCUCCGGCUAACUCCGUGCCAGCAGCCGCGGUAAUACGGAGGGAGCUAGCGUUGUUCGGAAUUACUGGGCGUAAAGCGCACGUAGGCGGUUAUUCAAGUCAGAGGUGAAAGCCCAGUGCUCAACACUGGAACUGCCUUUGAAACUAGAUAGCUUGAAUCCAGGAGAGGUGAGUGGAAUUCCGAGUGUAGAGGUGAAAUUCGUAGAUAUUCGGAAGAACACCAGUGGCGAAGGCGGCUCACUGGACUGGUAUUGACGCUGAGGUGCGAAAGCGUGGGGAGCAAACAGGAUUAGAUACCCGUGGUAGUCCACGCCGUAAACGAUGAUAACUAGCUGUCGAGGCGACAUGGUUGGUUUGGUUGGUCGGCGAGCGUACGACGAGUUAAGUUAGUCCGUCCGUCGGGUAGGUACGGUCGGUCGUAAGAAGUUAAAGUUAC
rnacentral:rRNA from 1 species